rnacentral:rRNA from 2 species
AUGGCGGACGGGUGAGUAAUGUCUGGGAAACUGCCUGAUGGAGGGGGAUAACUACUGGAAACGGUAGCUAAUACCGCAUAACGUCGCAAGACCAAAGAGGGGGACCUUCGGGCCUCUUGCCAUCAGAUGUGCCCAGAUGGGAUUAGCUAGUAGGUGGGGUAACGGCUCACCUAGGCGACGAUCCCUAGCUGGUCUGAGAGGAUGACCAGCCACACUGGAACUGAGACACGGUCCAGACUCCUACGGGAGGCAGCAGUGGGGAAUAUUGCACAAUGGGCGCAAGCCUGAUGCAGCCAUGCCGCGUGUAUGAAGAAGGCCUUCGGGUUGUAAAGUACUUUCAGCGGGGAGGAAGGUGUUGUGGUUAAUAACCACAGCAAUUGACGUUACCCGCAGAAGAAGCACCGGCUAACUCCGUGCCAGCAGCCGCGGUAAUACGGAGGGUGCAAGCGUUAAUCGGAAUUACUGGGCGUAAAGCGCACGCAGGCGGUCUGUCAAGUCGGAUGUGAAAUCCCCCGGGCUCAACCUGGGAACUGCAUUCGAAACUGGCAGGCUAGAGUCUUGUAGAGGGGGGUAGAAUUCCAGGUGUAGCGGUGAAAUGCGUAGAGAUCUGGAGGAAUACCGGUGGCGAAGGCGGCCCCCUGGACAAAGACUGACGCUCAGGUGCGAAAGCGUGGGGAGCAAACAGGAUUAG